AAGUCGUAACAAGGUUUCCGUAGGUGAACCUGCGGAAGGAUCAUUAUCACGUAUCCACGUAUAAACCAUUGCGAACCGUUUUUCACCUCCGCUGGCGCAGCAUGUAUGGAAGCUUGAAGAGAAAUUUUUUCAAACUUGCUGCUGCUACGGAGCGUAUUCACUAUUAACCAUUUCAACCAAUCUUUAUAACUUUAUGAACUAAAUUUAUUUUAUACUCUUCGGAGAUAAAAUUCAUUACGAAACAAAGAACAACUCUUAGCAACGGAUAUCUUGGUUCUC
rnacentral:misc_RNA from 1 species